GUCUUAUCCACCUGGAUUGGUCAAUGUUUUGGUAAUGAAAGUAAUGAACACAAUUAAUUAUGUUUUUUUUAGAUGCAGACAAUGUACGUUCGAGAAGAGAUUCCACCUGGAUUGGUCAAAAAAAGUCUGUGGACUUUCAAAAAGUACAUAGAUAGAUGGUUUUAUAAAAUUGAUGUUACUAGAUAUAACUUCACUAGCAAUGUAAACCCUCCUGAUGACCCCAGAGGGUCUACGUUCUUUAACAAUCUUGCUAUCACUUCUCUAGUUCACAAUAACUUUUGUGACGGCAUGUUCGGCUUAAUAGAAUGGAAUGCUACAAAUUGGGUUGGUGGUUUGGAUUUGUGUGAAUUUAACUCUGAGG
rnacentral:sRNA from 1 species